rnacentral:lncRNA from 1 species
UCUCUCUCUCCAUAUAUAUAUACAUAUAUGUUGUGUAUAUAUUACGAGUGAAAUAAAUCACCUUAUUAACUGAAUAACAAGAAGAAACUUUUAAAAAAGAAACAAACUCAAGCUCAAAAAAAUUACAAAGGAAAAAAGAAAUAGUAACCCAACUUAUGAUACCUGUGCAAUCCUCUACAGAAAGAAGAAGCUACAGAACAGAUAAAAUUGUAACCAAAUGUGUGCCCAUCAAAUGGAAGAAUUCACCUGGAAAUACAAUAACAAGUACUGUAUGUUGAGACAAAAGACAGACAUGAAACACACAUUUCAGAGCUCAGAAAAGGAAAUGGCACAAAGGACAGUGAUUCCUGAGACACAGAAAACAAAUGUGGAGACUCAGGAAUAUUUCCUGUGUUCUUUUCUGCUGAGAUAUCCCAUUUUACAGAGAAGAAUUCUGUGCAAAAUCUGAAACAAACAAACAGAAAAGUUUGUUUAUUCAUUCAUCUACUAAAGGACAAUUUGGAUGCUUCCAUUUCUAGGUGAUUAUGAAUAAAGCUGCUAUAAAUGUCA